AACGAACGCUGGCGGCAGGCCUAACACAUGCAAGUCGAACGCUGUAGCAAUACAGAGUGGCAGACGGGUGAGUAACGCGUGGGAACCUUCCCAGUGGUGCGGAAUAGCUCAGGGAAACUUGGGGUAAUACCGCAUAAGCCCCUAGGGGGAAAGAUUUAUCGCCAUUGGAUGGGCCCGCGUCGGAUUAGCUAGUUGGUGAGGUAAUGGCUCACCAAGGCGACGAUCCGUAGCUGGUCUGAGAGGAUGAUCAGCCACACUGGGACUGAGACACGGCCCAGACUCCUACGGGAGGCAGCAGUGGGGAAUAUUGGACAAUGGGCGAAAGCCUGAUCCAGCCAUGCCGCGUGAGUGAAGAAGGCCUUAGGGUUGUAAAGCUCUUUUGGCGGGGACGAUAAUG
rnacentral:rRNA from 1 species